UAAGUACUCCCUCUGUCCCAAAAUUCGUCUUAGAUUUGUCUAAAUACGAAUGUACAAGUCACGUUUUAGUAUUAGAUACAUCGGUAUCUAGACUAAUCUAAGACAAUUUUGGGACGGAGGGAGUAAUAG
rfam:Triticum aestivum genome assembly, contig: Triticum_aestivum_CS42_TGACv1_scaffold_112324_2AS